CAAAGCACAUGGGUGGUUCACGACCUUUUGCUGUUCAUGGUAUCAAGUUGGCAGAGAAACUAGGUAGGGAGGUUGGAUAUUCAGAAAUUUUUCAGGCUACACACAAGCGCAAGUGUGGAGAGGGUGAUUUUAUAGACAACAAGUCAAGAGUUGUUAAUGAAAAGUAUAAUGCUGCAUUGAUCGACAAAUAUGGUGAUGAUAUCUCUUCCCAUCCAAGUUUUGAUGGUUAGUCAUGGUAUGAUGCAAUUGGGGGAUUAAAGGCUACACACACAUGUGUAUAUGGUUUUGGGAGUAGGGUAGACUCAAGACAAUUGUUUAGUGUAGCAUCUACAUGUCCUUCCACAUCUGAUUCAGCGUGUGGACCUUCAACUUAUCAAACUUUUGCAAUAUAUGAAUCUAUGUUGCAAACCCAGCAACUUGCGGAGAAAGUUCAGAAUUUAGAAAGUACAGUUCUUGAUAUUCAACAAGGUCAAGCAGGGUUACAAAGUAAAUUGGACAAAAUAUUGGAGUUGGUAGAACGCGGUCAUCCAACAUUAUUCUCAAGCAAGCCAAUCGGGAAUUAAUUCAAGAGAUGCCAGUACUGGAGAUGGUGGAGAAGAUGCAUAAGUAGAUUCAGAUGACCUUUACAAUGUUGUUGUUAACUUUUGUUUUGUUAGAGUACCUCUAAAACUAUUUUAAUAUUUUUUGUGAUUGCUUGCAACUUUAUAACUUCAUAUACCUUACAUGUGUUGUUGGAUUGUAGUAUGAAUUUAAGUUUUUUUUUGUUGUUG